rnacentral:lncRNA from 1 species
AACCUUGGGCUUCGAAAAGCAGAUUUCCCUUCCAGAAUUGGGGGGUGGUGCUUGCCUAGGACCCAGGGUCAGCCAGGCAGGGACAGGAUUGGGGAGAACUGGAGGAGGAGCGACACGGGGGUCCUGACCAGUACGCGGUCCACGGGCGAAGAGUUACCCCGGGAGCGAGCCCCAGGCCCUCUGCGGAUCGAGGGGCGGCCAAGAGACUGGCCCCGCCCCGCGGACCCCGCGCGGGUCCCCAGACGGGGGGUGGCGCUGCGGGCGCGGGCGGGCGCCGCGCGCACUGCGGUCCCCGCGCCUCCGCCGCAGAGCGCGCCACGCUUCGCACGCACCUGCCGCCGCCGCCGCGCCGAGCCCGCGCCCCGCGUCCCGCGCCCCCGGGAGCCGCCGCGGCCAAGCCAUCGCCCCAGGUCGCCACCGGAGCCCCGGGAGCCGCCGGAGCCGCCGGGCCGAGGCGCGGACGCCGCACCCGGGCCUGCCUUUGAGACAACCUCUGCGGCGGCGGCGCGCGGCUCGGGGACGCCAGGCUGGGGCAGCUCGGGCCUGGUCCAGGCCUCUUCCCCGCUCCCGCCGCCGCCGCCGCCGCCGCCGCCGCCGCCGCGGAGCUCGCGGCCCGGGUCCUCCCGCAGCCAGGGCUCAGGCUAGCUGCCUUCCCUGGGCGCCCUGCCUUGGAACCAUGGGGCCCACCUAGCCCCUGCCUGCCCGGAUGUCCCAGUCCGGGUACUGCUAACCUCGGCUGCAGGGGCAGCCCCCCCAACGCCCCCUCGCCAGCUUCAGCAGUCAGAGAGCCUGGGUGAGCCCCUGGGCCAGACCUCCAGCCCAGGGCAGCCUCCCACACCCCCCUGCUCCGGCCUCCCUCCACCCCCGCCCCUUCCUCCUCCUCCUCGGACUGGACCAGAGAAGCCACUGUGGCCACUGGGAGGGGCCCUGCCCCCCCAGCUCUCGCCGGUCGCCCCCAGGAAUCCUCGGGGUGGCCGGGGUCCCCACCAGGCCUGGCGGGACCAGGAUGCUGCCCCCACUCCUCCCCCCCGGCCCCACCCAACGCCCCCUCCCACCCUAACACCCA